rnacentral:rRNA from 1 species
ACGCUGGCGGCGUGCCUAAUACAUGCAAGUAGAACGCUGAAGAGAGGAGCUUGCUCUUCUUGGAUGAGUUGCGAACGGGUGAGUAACGCGUAGGUAACCUGCCUUGUAGCGGGGGAUAACUAUUGGAAACGAUAGCUAAUACCGCAUAACAAUGGAUGACACAUGUCAUUUAUUUGAAAGGGGCAAUUGCUCCACUACAAGAUGGACCUGCGUUGUAUUAGCUAGUAGGUGAGGUAAUGGCUCACCUAGGCGACGAUACAUAGCCGACCUGAGAGGGUGAUCGGCCACACUGGGACUGAGACACGGCCCAGACUCCUACGGGAGGCAGCAGUAGGGAAUCUUCGGCAAUGGGGGCAACCCUGACCGAGCAACGCCGCGUGAGUGAAGAAGGUUUUCGGAUCGUAAAGCUCUGUUGUAAGUCAAGAACGGGUGUGAGAGUGGAAAGUUCACACUGUGACGGUAGCUUACCAGAAAGGGACGGCUAACUACGUGCCAGCAGCCGCGGUAAUACGUAGGUCCCGAGCGUUGUCCGGAUUUAUUGGGCGUAAAGCGAGCGCAGGCGGUUUGAUAAGUCUGAAGUUAAAGGCUGUGGCUCAACCAUAGUUCGCUUUGGAAACUGUCAAACUUGAGUGCAGAAGGGGAGAGUGGAAUUCCAUGUGUAGCGGUGAAAUGCGUAGAUAUAUGGAGGAACACCGGUGGCGAAAGCGGCUCUCUGGUCUGUAACUGACGCUGAGGCUCGAAAGCGUGGGGAGCGAACAGGAUUAGAUACCCUGGUAGUCCACGCCGUAAACGAUGAGUGCUAGGUGUUGGAUCCUUUCCGGGAUUCAGUGCCGCAGCUAACGCAUUAAGCACUCCGCCUGGGGAGUACGACCGCAAGGUUGAAACUCAAAGGAAUUGACGGGGGCCCGCACAAGCGGUGGAGCAUGUGGUUUAAUUCGAAGCAACGCGAAGAACCUUACCAGGUCUUGACAUCCCGAUGCUAUUUCUAGAGAUAGAAAGUUACUUCGGUACAUCGGUGACAGGUGGUGCAUGGUUGUCGUCAGCUCGUGUCGUGAGAUGUUGGGUUAAGUCCCGCAACGAGCGCAACCCCUAUUGUUAGUUGCCAUCAUUCAGUUGGGCACUCUAGCGAGACUGCCGGUAAUAAACCGGAGGAAGGUGGGGAUGACGUCAAAUCAUCAUGCCCCUUAUGACCUGGGCUACACACGUGCUACAAUGGUUGGUACAACGAGUUGCGAGUCGGUGACGGCGAGCUAAUCUCUUAAAGCCAAUCUCAGUUCGGAUUGUAGGCUGCAACUCGCCUACAUGAAGUCGGAAUCGCUAGUAAUCGCGGAUCAGCACGCCGCGGUGAAUACGUUCCCGGGCCUUGUACACACCGCCCGUCACACCACGAGAGUUUGUAACACCCGAAGUCGGUGAGGUAACCUUUUGGAGCCAGCCGCCUAAGGUGGGACA